AUCCUCUCCUCUCACAUCGCUCUCCAGCUCCACUUGCGCUCGCAGCCUCCCGCCUGUUCGCUCGCUGCUCUCCUCUCUCCUCCUCUUAUUGCACUCUCACUCAUACAUCCAGACACAUGCAUGCAUGCAUUCACUCUGCCUUCUCUAUGUGUCUCCCCUUCUCUCUCCUUCUUUCACUACUCGGUCCUGUGCAGACUUGAGGAGCCCCGGAGAGGAGAUGAUGAUGAUGAUGGUGAUGCUGCUGCUGCUGGUGGUGGAGACCUUUUGGUGAUUUUUCUUUUUCCCCUUUAAAAAAAAAAAGGCAGAAAAAAGAGCAGAAAACUAGACUCAGAGCAAUGUUGAUGCAACAGCACCUCUUCCCUCUGCGCUGUGUUGAUCUGUCUGCCUCCUGCCUAGCAUCAGCCCAUUUUGGGGGGAUUUAAACGACAGGAAGAGUGCUGCGCUGGCUGUGCGCUCUGCGGUUCUGGUGCGCUGGAUCUCCUGCUCUUCAUCUCACACUGAAGGAUGUUCAGUUCUUUACACGAUCUGGAAUAUUACUACUACUACUACUGUCAACACUCCUCCUGCUGCUGCUGCUGCCCACUUCUCUGCCCCGGCCAGAUCGCAGUCUGAGACGCCCCUAAAGGGAAGAACAAGCAUGUCAGAGGCACCUGUGUUGCACAUGGAAAUGAGCCGUCUGCUGCUGGUUCUGCUGGACCUCUAAGCCAGACUUGAGAUUAUCCCAGAAUCACAGAAGAAAUUGGGAGUUCUCCUUUUCUGACGAGCUGAAAAAAAAUUCCUGUAUCACUGUAUACUGAGGAGCGCCAGCCGCUUAACCAGCUCUAUGGUUUUCUGAUUUGCCCAAGACUGCAAUUUUGGCAUCUGACUAAGAGUGGGUUUGUACAACGUUUGGACAAGGAGGUGGAGAACUGUCAGCAGCGGUGGCGGGUCGGAGAAACUCUGUUUGUUCCUCUUUACCAGGCAGGAAGGAAGAAUGACGGUGAACUCGCUGCUCCAUCAACACUACAGUCCCAACAUAUAGCUGCAGUUAUAGGGAGGAGCACAUCAGUUACAGCUGAUAAAACAACCUCUGUGUCUCUGCAAGAAGCCGCUACAGGAGGAAACAUUUAGAUACCCAACAGACAUCUUCUUUUUGAAGGAAAAGUAAGAUAUUUUCAGGCAUAUUUUUGUACUUACUGUAUUUUCAGUUAGGCUUUUCUUCCCUUUAUCAUUUGUUUUUAGCAUGCAAGGAAGUCCAGGUUUUAAGGACUGAGUUAAAUUCAAACUUGCUUUAAAAUGCUUCAUGAUUG
ensembl:lncRNA